GGGGAAACGCCCGGUCUCAUUCCGAACCCGGAAGCUAAGCUCUUCAGCGCCGAUGGUACUGCAUGGGGGACUGUGUGGGAGAGUAGGACGCCGCCGGAC
rnacentral:rRNA from 1 species